UUUGACCACAGAGGGACACAGCCCACA
rnacentral:piRNA from 1 species